AGCCCAAUUACACACAUCAGGGAGGGGGAAGUGAGUAGCUUCAGAUCAAAUGUUCAAAUCAAAAUCAAAAACACGCGCUCAAGAAUACCUCUAUCUACCUUGCCUAAAGUAACCGCCCUCCACCGUGUCGGAGGUCGCCUCCGGCAGCGGCGAAGGGCCAAACCAAGAAAUUCAACCACCAAUAAACUUGUUUCGUACCCCUCCAUUCAAAUUCAUCAAUGAUUUCAGUCAACUCAUAACCCAAACUCCUAACUGAAUUGUAUUGUCUCAAGAACCCUAGUCAUGAAAAGCUAAAUUAAAUCAUCAUCUUAUGGAAUCAAAGCCCAAGGGGUUGGGGAUUUGAUUCCUCAACCUUCAAACUACAUGUCCAUGACUAAUUUGAAGCACGAAGGUGAAAGAAAAAGCUUACGCUGUCGGAGACUCCGAAGGUGACGACGAUGAGAUUUACAGGGUAUUCACACAUGAGAAUUGGAUAAGGCAUACAAAAUGGCUUGCAUUUGAAGAAACAUUGGAACAUGGCAAUCAUCAAAGAUCAAAAGUGGAAGAAAAGACGACUCAUACAAAUGGAUAGCUUGUGGGAGAAGCAAUGCAAGAAAUAGGGUUUAGAAUAAGUAGAAUUAGUCAGUUGACUUUGGUCAACUGGUUGACAAAAAAGUCAACAAUUGACCAGAAGUCAACUUAGGCAAAAAAUGUAUUUUUUUUUGUAUGAAAUGAUUUGUAAUGACUUUGAUGUAUUGUAAUGGAUUGUUAUUCUUUUGAAAUGGAAAUGGACUUUGAAUGAA